rnacentral:rRNA from 1 species
UACGGGGGGGGCAAGCGUUGUUCGGAAUUACUGGGCGUAAAGGGCUCGUAGGCGGCCAACUAAGUCGGAUGUGAAAUCCCCAGGCUUAACCUGGGAACUGCAUCCGAUACUGGAUGGCUUGAAUUCGGGAGAGGGACGCAGAAUUCCAGGUGUAGCGGUGAAAUGCGUAGAUAUCUGGAGGAAUACCGGUGGCGAAGGCGGCAUCCUGGACCGAGAUUGACGCUGAUGAGCGAAAGCUAGGGGAGCAAACGGG